rnacentral:lncRNA from 1 species
CUCCUCUUCAGCAACCAUUCCAACCAUACAAAGAAUGUAAAUACAUAUCAAACCAAUCAGGCUAAGGUGCGGAUAAGAAUCAAACAUGAAAUCAAUUAGGCUGAGGUGCAAGUGGAUAUUUUUGCUCUGUUUAAGGAGAUUCAAGCCCUCUACGGUGGUGCAAAUCUACUUGAAGUUCUUCUUGCCAUUGUUUUUAAAGAAAGUGAUCACCUUAAAUUCCCAUACCGAAUCUAGAAUAGAAUUAGAAGAGGGUCACGAAAAAAUUGGUGGGUUGUACUUUGCAGAAGCAAAAGAUGUUUGAGAACAGAAUCCAGAAUGGAUAUAGAUGAAAUUCUAAAGAUGAAGCUUGAAACAAUCAAAGAAGAACCAGAUAUAAGGGAAGAAAAUAGUCACAAAGCAGAGGAAGAAAAAUCAUUCCAAGGCAAAGGUGGGACAAGUUUUUAUUUCUCAAUUGAGUCUUCAAAAAUCUUGUGUGCUAUUCAUGACUAGGUUAGCCUCCAAAGGUCACUUGGGUGGACUUCCUAGGUACUAAAUUAUUUUCAGCAGCUGAAUAUCUUUCAAAUGGAUCGAAGACUGUAUGAAAGAAAACGUGGUCGACCAAUUUCUUGCAUGUAAUCAAUCUGAUUGAUUUUUCCAUCAAAAGUACUAUGUCUAAUCUUCAGUUUUCAAGACUCCCCCUUCUUCCACUCUGUUCCGAGGAGUAACUAGACUGAUUUUUUAGUAUUAGUACUGGUGUUCCUGAGCAUUCUGUAAUUUACAGUUUUCACAAAGAUCUGACUAAACAAGUUGUG